GUGAAUCAUCGAAUUUUUGAACGCAAAUUGCGCUUCCUGGCAUCCCGGGAAGUAUGCCUGUUUGAGGGUCAGUAUUAAUAAAAAGUCUGGUUAGGUACAAAUUGUGAUGUUUUCGGAUUUUGGGCUAGCUUAACAUUUUUGGUUAAGAGGCUUAAAAUUGACCUUUUUUGCGCAUUUUUAUACUGA
rnacentral:misc_RNA from 1 species